GGGGACCUGGCGGCGUGCCUAUACAUGCAAGUCGAACGAACUUCCGUUAAUUGAUUAUGACGUGCUUGCACUGAAUGAGAUUUUAACACGAAGUGAGUGGCGGACGGGUGAGUAACACGUGGGUAACCUGCCCAGAAGCAGGGGAUAACACCUGGAAACAGAUGCUAAUACCGUUAUAACAGAGAAAACCGCCUGGUUUUUCUUUUAAAAGAUGGCUCUGCUAUCACUUCUGGAUGGACCCGCGGCGCAUUAGCUAGUUGGUGAGGUAACGGCUCACCAAGGCGAUGAUGCGUAGCCGACCUGAGAGGGUAAUCGGCCACAUUGGGACUGAGACACGGCCCAGACUCCUACGGGAGGCAGCAGUAGGGAAUCUUCCACAAUGGACGCAAGUCUGAUGGAGCAACGCCGCGUGAGUGAAGAAGGGUUUCGGCUCGUAAAGCUCUGUUGUUAAAGAAGAACGUGGGUGAGAGUAACUGUUCACCCAGUGACGGUAUUUAACCAGAAAGCCACGGCUAACUACGUGCCAGCAGCCGCGGUAAUACGUAGGUGGCAAGCGUUAUCCGGAUUUAUUGGGCGUAAAGCGAGCGCAGGCGGUCUUUUAAGUCUAAUGUGAAAGCCUUCGGCUCAACCGAAGAAGUGCAUUGGAAACUGGGAGACUUGAGUGCAGAAGAGGACAGUGGAACUCCAUGUGUAGCGGUGAAAUGCGUAGAUAUAUGGAAGAACACCAGUGGCGAAGGCGGCUGUCUGGUCUGUAACUGACGCUGAGGCUCGAAAGCAUGGGUAGCGAACAGGAUUAGAUACCCUGGUAGUCCAUGCCGUAAACGAUGAUUACUAAGUGGUGGGAGGGUUU
rnacentral:rRNA from 1 species